rnacentral:rRNA from 1 species
GACGAACGCUGGCGGCGUGCCUAAUACAUGCAAGUUGAGCGAUGAAGAUUGGUGCUUGCACCAAUUUGAAGAGCAGCGAACGGGUGAGUAACGCGUGGGGAAUCUGCCUUUGAGCGGGGGACAACAUUUGGAAACGAAUGCUAAUACCGCAUAACAACUUUAAACAUAAGUUUUAAGUUUGAAAGAUGCAAUUGCAUCACUCAAAGAUGAUCCCGCGUUGUAUUAGCUAGUUGGUGAGGUAAAGGCUCACCAAGGCGAUGAUACAUAGCCGACCUGAGAGGGUGGUCGGCCACAUUGGGACUGAGACACGGCCCAAACUCCUACGGGAGGCAGCAGUAGGGAAUCUUCGGCAAUGGACGAAAGUCUGACCGAGCAACGCCGCGUGAGUGAAGAAGGGUGUCGGAUCGGAAAACUCGGUUGGUAGAGAAGAACGUUGGUGAGAGUGGAAAGCUCAUCAAGUGACGGUAACUACCCAAAAAGGGACGGCUAACUACGUG